rnacentral:misc_RNA from 1 species
UGACGUAUGCGUCUUUGAACCUGUCACUAAAUCAAGUGGUCCUGUGGUCCUGGAGGUCAAAAUCUUCCGCGUCGUUGAAGAUGUUACCCCUCUGACUCGUGUAGCAUCAAAGAGCAACCGAAAGCUAAUCAAAGCACCUGAAGCGUAAUUUGUGGCAAGUUCCCAAAAUAUUUUAGUACCUAAGGUUAAGACCCAGGAUUGUCUGUCUGUAUAAUAUUGUGUAGGUAAUAACUCUGCUUUAACAUACGAUGUAUUGUGGCUGGGGCCUGUCCUUUGCUAACAUUUAGUCGAUGCCAUGCUAGUGCUGACUUCUG